GCCGAAAUAGCUCAGUUGGGAGCGCGUUAGACUAUAGAUCGACAGUCCCUGGUUCGAUCCCGGGUUUCAGCA
rnacentral:tRNA from 1 species